rnacentral:rRNA from 1 species
AUUGGGCCGAGUUUGAUCCUGGCUCAGAACGAACGCUGGCGGCAGGCCUAACACAUGCAAGUCGAGCGCUGUAGCAAUACAGAGCGGCGCACGGGUGAGUAACACGUGGGAACGUGCCUAUCGGUUCGGAAUAACUCAGGGAAACUUGAGCUAAUACCGGAUACGCCCCCUGGGGGAAAGAUUUAUCGCCGAAAGAUUAGCCCGCGUUGGAUUAGCUAGUUGGUGAGGUAAAGGCUCACCAAGGCGACGAUCCAUAGCUGGUUUGAGAGAACGACCAGCCACACUGGGACUGAGACACGGCCCAGACUCCUACGGGAGGCAGCAGUGGGGAAUCUUGGACAAUGGAGGAAACUCUGAUCCAGCCAUGCCGCGUGAGUGAUGAAGGCCUUCGGGUUGUAAAACUCUUUUGGCGGGGACGAUAAUGACGGUACCCGCAGAAUAAGCUCCGGCUAACUUCGUGCCAGCAGCCGCGGUAAU